rnacentral:rRNA from 1 species
UACGUAGGUGGCAAGCGUUGUCCGGAUUUACUGGGCGUAAAGAGCGCGCAGGCGGUCGUUCAAGUCGCGUGUGAAAGCCCCCCGGCUCAACUGGGGAGGGUCACGCGAUACUGAUCGACUCGAAGGCAGGAGAGGGAAGUGGAAUUCCCGGUGUAGUGGUGAAAUGCGUAGAUAUCGGGAGGAACACCAGUGGCGAAGGCGACUUCCUGGCCUGUUCUUGACGCUGAGGCGCGAAAGCUAG